rnacentral:rRNA from 1 species
UUGUAGCCUGCUAUGGUAUAACUUAGUGGCAGACGGGUGAGUAAUGUAUAGGAAUCUACCUAGUAGUACGGAAUAAUUGUUGGAAACGGCAACUAAUACCGUAUACGCCCUACGGGGGAAAAAUUUAUUGCUAUUAGAUGAGCCUAUAUUAGAUUAGCUAGUUGGUGGAGUAAUAGCCUACCAAGGCAAUGAUCUAUAGCUGAUCUGAGAGGAUGAUCAGCCACACUGGAACUGAGAUACGGUCCAGACUCCUACGGGAGGCAGCAGUGGGGAAUAUUGGACAAUGGGCGAAACGUGAUCCAGCCAUGCCGCAUGAGUGAAGAAGGCCUUUGGGUUGUAAAGCUCUUUUAGUGAGGAAGAUAAUGACGGUACUCACAGAAGAAGUCCUGGCUAACUCCGUGCCAGCAGCCGCGGUAAUACGGGGAGGGCUAGCGUUAUUCGGAAUUAUUGGGCGUAAAGGGCGCGUAGGCGGAUUAGUAAGUUAAAAGUGAAAUCCCAAGGCUCAACCUUGGAAUUGCUUUUAAAACUGCUAAUCUACACAUUGAAAGAGGAUAGAGGAAUUCCUAGUGUAGAGGUGAAAUUCGUAAAUAUUAGGAGGAACACCAGUGGCGAAGGCGUCUAUCUGGUUCAAAUCUGACGCUUCAGGCGCGAAGGCGUGGGGAGCAAACAGGAUUAGAUACCCUGGUAGUCCACGCUGUAAACGAUGAAUGUUAAAUAUGGGAAGUUUUACUUUCUGUAUUACACGUAACGCGUUAAACAUUCCGCCUGGGGACUACGGUCGCAAGAUUAAAACUCAAAGGAAUUGACGGGGACCGCCACAAGCGGUGGAGCAUGUGGUUUAAUUCGAUGCAACGCGAAAAACCUUACCACUCCUUGACAUGAAAAUCAUACCUAUUC